GACGUCAUGAUGGAGGAUCACCGGCCCCUCACAUCACCAGAGCCCCAUGGUCCAUAAAGCCAAGAUCGGCUCUUUCAUUUAUCACCGGUCCAACACCGAGGAUCGAUCCUGAUCAUAAACCUGCAAAUGUUAAGGAAGAGAGAACAACACCCGAGAGAUGUCCCAGUCCU